UCAUACUGAAGGUCUCUCAAUAGAUCCUUCUGACCCUUCACUAUGUACUCGGAAGGGACCUGGGGAGAUUCCUUUGCCCUAAUGA